rnacentral:rRNA from 1 species
AAGGGGUAAUAAACAUGUGGCUAAGCCAUCCCCGCGCCCCGGCCGAAACCGAGACGCCAAGGAUGACCGCGCAACCGAUGGUGGUGU